GUCCUAACAACCAACCUUUGAUUGUUUGUAAGGAAGAAGGGAUAAGAACCAUACCUCACGCCCCUCUUUUCCAUGCACUCCCCUCCUUUUCUUCUAUUUUUCUUACGCAUCUCCUUUGGUUUUUGGCAUCCAUAAACUGAUCACAUCAGGUUAGCCAAUGCCCUAUAAGGUCUCUUGUUUAAAUAGAGAGAGGAUAUUGAAUUUGGGUAGGAGAAAAGAGUCCAAACUCCUUUGGACUUUAGAAAUUUUAUGCUGCACACAUCCCUUUAUUUUGUGUGCCCUAUAUCACAUGGAAAUAAGAGAGAUUCCAUGGAUUAUUACAUGCUAAAAAGGGAGAGGAGGCAUGGAAAAAUAUGGCAUCCAAUUUGGUUGGCGUGGGGCUUUCUUAUGCGCAUGGAGAGGAGGAGUUUCAAUCUCAUGGGACUCUUCUUUUAAGUGACUGAUUGAAAUCAAUUUAAAUUAUAACCAAUUCUAAUCAUAUUAAAAAUUAAUUAAAUCCAAAUAGAUAAAAAUUUAAAUCUAAUUUGAAGCUUAAACUAUUUAGAUUAGGUGUCACCUAAUUAGAGA
rnacentral:lncRNA from 1 species